GCUAUUAUGCGCAGGCCAGCCUCAUUAUUUUCCUGAUUAAUGAAAGCGGUGUGCGUAACAACGUGCGUGAAUAAUUUUCAGAAGUCU
rnacentral:ncRNA from 1 species